AGAUUGAGAGUACCUUUGAAAUUGCACAGUUCAUCGAAAAGCAAAUUCUUUCAAAUCUGUACACAACGGACCCUGAAAAGUUCUGGACAAUCUUCCACCAAAUGAUAGCAGAUGUUCCAGAAGUGCCACCGAGUUUCUACAACAGCCAAAUGUUGGAUACAUCAUCGAUUUACAUCAAGCAGUGGUGCCUUUUAAGUGCUAUGUGUACUUCGAAUAUUUCCACCAAGGAAAUGGACGUGAACGGUGCUUUCUUGCUAAUAGAAACCAAGAUUAAUAAACUUUUAGAUGCACUCUGAUGAUGGACACACAGCCUGAUCUGGUCAUCCUGAAUUGCAUUUCUGUCUUUGCUUGGGACCAUGGUUCUCGAGCCUGUGUCACACGUGUGUUGAAAUGACACCGUUCUCUAAAUAUAGUGUACUUCUUGUCAAU